rnacentral:misc_RNA from 1 species
GUACUUGCAUACCUGGUUCAUGAGUGACAGCUUCUCGCUGCUCACGCAACUCAACGGGCACCAUAAGGUUAUCACCGGGAUUGCACUCCCUUCGGGUUCCAACAGGCUGUACUCGGGGAGCAAGGAUGAGACCGUUCGGGUCUGGGAUUGCCAGACAGGGCAGUGUGUUGGAGAGGCUAAUGUGGGAGGUGAAGUUGGUUGCAUGCUUAGCGAGGGGC